rnacentral:rRNA from 1 species
CCGCAGUACUCUGACUGUGCAAAGGUAGCAUAAUCAAUUGGCUUUUAAUUGGAGUCUAGUAUGAAUGGAUUUACGUAAAAGUUCUGUCUCAACAAAAUUUUUUUUAAAUUUUUUAAAAGGUGAAAAAACCUUUAGUAUCUAAAAGACGAGAAGACCCUAAGAAUUUUAAAAAAAUUAAUCUAUCUUUUUUGCUGGGGCGGCAACGGAUCAUGAAACAUCCGUAUAAUCGAGGUUUUCGUAUUAUAAAUUACCUUAGGGAUAACAGCACAAUUGUUACCUCGAUGUUGGACUAGGAACCUUAAGGUUAGAUACUCUAAAGGUGAGU